AGACAGACUCAUACUUGCCAUGGCGAUGUGUAUCCCUCCUCUCAAAGGAUGGAGCAGCAAGCACCUUGUAGUUGCGGCCAUGAUAGGAACCCUGGUCGUGGUCGCCAUCGCCGCAGUCAUCAUCGUCGACCUCACUCCGCCUCAAGUCUUCUUCUCCAUCGAAGAUGCAAGCCUCCAAUUCUACAACUUCACUCUCUCUGCCAACAACACCAGCCGGCGCAUGGAGGUGCAUUAUACCACCCUCAACACUGAGAUAUGGAUAACCCCGUCUGAUUGGUAUUCAGCCGAGUUGAGCAUGAGCGGGUUCACGCAGCAGCCACCGGACAACGUGACCAAGUUCGCCGGGUGGGCCGAGUCGUAUCAGCUGGAUAGCAUGAUGGCGUCGGCGCAGGGCAGCGGCGCGGGGAAUUGGCCAAACUGCACCGUGGUGGUGAUAGCCAAGGUGUUGUUCAAGGUCGGGCUGGCACGCACACGGCCGUACCACAUCAGGGUGUCCUGCUUCCCCGUCAACUUCCGCGAUAAGACUCGGUACGCCAAUUGUACCUACUGAUCUCUCCAGUUUAGGAAGGGGAGAAGAGCCGAGGCUUUCUAGGGAGGUUGCCGGAGGAGGAGCUGAGGAAGGAUGGGGCGCGGCAAGAUCGAAAUCAAGCGGAUCGAGAACUCUACCAACCGCCAAGUGACCUUCUCCAAGCGCCGCAACGGGAUCCUCAAGAAGGCGCGGGAGAUCAGCGUGCUCUGCGAUGCCAAGGUCGGCAUCGUCAUCUUCUUCGCGAUUUGCUGGGCGCUCGAUCUGCCCCGCCCUCCGCCCUCCGCCCUCCCAGCCUUGCGUCGCCCCUGUCACCCCUCCCCCGUGAACUUCCUCAAUACGACUCGGUACGCCUCCCAAGCAAGUAGCUGAAGCAAACAGGCUGAAAGAAAGGCUUACCUUAAAUUCUGUCAGUCUCUGUAUGGCUGUUGUCUGGAGGGCUCCAGUACACCUUAGAUCUGCUGUUGUUGGUGUUGUUAAUGGACUCCUGAUAUCUGCUUCCGUUCAUGUUCCAGUUCCAUUUGGUCUCGAAAUUAAAGAUAUAUUCUUCAUCAUAUCGGUAAUGUCGCGCGGUUCUUGGUUUCAAGUACUGCCUGCAUUUGUUUUUUCUUUUCCUUGUCAUUUGGUCCGUCAGAACUAAGUUUGUUGAAUUCCUUCUGAGUAAGCUUGAGACGCUGGUCGUGCUUGUUUGUUGGUGUGCCUACGUGCCGCAUAGUUUGUCGUAGCAAAUACUUCCGGUUCCAUAUCGCCUGUGU
rnacentral:lncRNA from 1 species